rnacentral:lncRNA from 1 species
CCACAAAUUGGCAUACACUGAAUAAUUUUGUGGGCAUCUUUGGAUAAGAAAGGAACAAAUCCACAUGCUAAUGUGCUUCUUACCAAUUUCAGGUAUUUGGCAUGGAUUGCACGUAAUACAUCAAAUAUGGUUCCUUUGACUCCCCAAAGUUUUUAAUUAUUUAGAUGUAACCCCGAAUUUAAUCAUAUACACAAAGUGCAAACCAUCUUGCUGUUCUCAACUUUUUUCUUUUUCAUGUUUAAGUAAAGACAGUAUAAUGAGUACGUAUAAUAAAAAUACGCAGACAAAUAAAUGAAUAAAUAUAUUAAGAAAUAAAAGACACAAAUGAGAAAGAUAAAAGUUUUUUCGCGGUCUCUCCAACACAAUUAUACCCUCUCCAACUGAAUUCUCUAAACUUUAAUGUCUUGUUCAGUUUUCGCAAGAGUUAUAUUGAAUCAUAUAUACUUGACAAAGCCAUCAAAGCUUUAAUCUUUUAAACAAAACAUUUACCAUAUGUACAGUAAAUAAACCAUAUAUAAUAUAAUUUCAUAGAGUGAAAUUUAUGGUAAUAGAAUAUAAAUUAGAGGAAAUAUUAUUUUUUUACAUUCAACUCCAAUUUAAUUGGAUCUACUACCAUCACCAUUGGAUUUCAUCAACAUAAAUAACAACUUUUGCUCAAGACCUUAUUAAGGACUAUUUUGUUUAUGCGAAUGGACUAGCUUAUAUUGUUUGAAUUUCACUUAUCCAUGGUUUCUUGCAAAAUAAAAAUAAUGAAUGCUGAGGACUCUAUCUUAACAUCAUCAUCAUAGUUAUUAUUUGAGUAACUUCAACUUAUUUAUACCACUUUUUUUUUUUAAUUUGCGAAACAAUAAUCAUAUUCAUACUUUGAAUAGAAAAUGGAACUGUUUGGAUCUUAAAUCAACGGUAAAGAAUGAGUUGAUUUAUAGUAUUACAUAUAUUCUCAGAAAUACUAAAAAUAAUUUUUGAUUAGUAUGAAUGAUAGCAUGAAGACACAAUGAAAAUGAAAAAUAUUUUAUGUGCAUUUGGUGAUUCUUCUCCACUGGUUUUGGCAAAAGCCAAUUCUUGUUGGAAGAGGAUUGCUAUUAAUAUUUGGAGGGAGGCUUUUAGGCUAAGGGAAUUUUNN